GUCGAGCGAACGGACGAGAAGCUUGCUUCUCUGAUGUUAGCGGCGGACGGGUGAGUAACACGUGGAUAACCUACCUAUAAGACUGGGAUAACUUCGGGAAACCGGAGCUAAUACCGGAUAAUAUUUUGAACCGCAUGGUUCAAAAGUGAAAGACGGUCUUGCUGUCACUUAUAGAUGGAUCCGCGCUGCAUUAGCUAGUUGGUAAGGUAACGGCUUACCAAGGCAACGAUGCAUAGCCGACCUGAGAGGGUGAUCGGCCACACUGGAACUGAGACACGGUCCAGACUCCUACGGGAGGCGGCAGUAGGGAAUCUUCCGCAAUGGGCGAAAGCCUGACGGAGCAACGCCGCGUGAGUGAUGAAGGUCUUCGGAUCGUAAAACUCUGUUAUUAGGGAAGAACAUAUGUGUAAGUAACUGUGCACAUCUUGACGGUACCUAAUCAGAAAGCCAUGGCUAACUACGUGCCAGCAGCCGCGGUAAUACGUAGGUGGCAAGCGUUAUCCGGAAUUAUUGGGCGUAAAGCGCGCGUAGGCGGUUUUUUAAGUCUGAUGUGAAAGCCCACGGCUCAACCGUGGAGGGUCAUUGGAAACUGGAAAACUUGAGUGCAGAAGAGGAAAGUGGAAUUCCAUGUGUAGCGGUGAAAUGCGCAGAGAUAUGGAGGAACACCAGUGGCGAAGGCGACUUUCUGGUCUGUAACUGACGCUGAUGUGCGAAAGCGUG
rnacentral:rRNA from 1 species